GAAACAAGGAGUGCGCGGGAACAUGAAAAAUGACCGUUAAUAUGAGCAGGUCGAGUUCGUUACUAAAUUAACCACCAAGAUCAUCUCGAAAUUGAUAGCCAUUUUAAUGAUUGCUGGCUUGCUGCAACAAUACUACAUUGUCUGAGGCUGUUAAAGUGGCUCUGCAUAGGAGAGGAGGUUAAGCAACUAUCAAUCGAACAAUUGCCCAUCAGUUUGUGGGGUUGGAUUUGCUGCUUAGGGGUUAUCCCCUGCUGUUCUUCUGCCAUCUCUGCAAGGGCCAAGUUUAAGCACUGGUUGGAUACUGUCGAAACUAAUUCUGAGAGCUGCAGUUUCGCUGCUUCCAGACCAACUACGCCAAUAUUCUGCUUACCAAGUGUUUCCUCGGCUUUUUCCAGGACCGACUGAAGGGGAAGAUUCUGUUGACUGGAGCAUAAUUAAACUUUAGUAUUUGACAUUGACAAGCAAAAAUGAACAAGAUGCUCAACAUGGGACAUUGUUUGCGGGAAAAGCAUGGAAUAUGGAAUACAUACUAUCAUAUCUCCUUCUGCUAGGAAUAUGAAUGUUUCAUGUACAUUUGGGACCCCGCCUUCUAUGGUCGUUUCGAGUUACUAUGCAUGGUUAUCUUCCGUUAAAGCCAAACGAUUCUCCACAUUCGAGAAAGAAGGGAGCACAUAAGAGCAUCUGCAUGUGGAGCAAAAGAUUUAUGGUUCAACUCUUACUGGGCGCAGGUAUCAGUUGGGUGAUUUCUUUACUGUCUCUUUACUCCCUCCUUGGGAGAACAUGUAUGAUUUAUCCGCAUCUUUCAGGAAAAGAAAAACCCUUCAUCCGAACCUUGCUUUGUGCAGAAUACUAAAAGUGCCUUUUUCUUUUCAUUGCAAUUAUUGCCAAAAUAAUGCACAUGAUAAUUGGAUCUUCCUUCCCUUUCUGUUGUAAUUGGUUCCCAAAUUCUUGAAGGUGGGAACGUGAGGUCAUGUUCAUUAUUGAAGUUAGGAGCCACGAGUUCCAUGCUUGCCAUCCAUUUUAACUAAAUUAAUGGAAAAGAAAAAAAUAUUCAAUUGGGGUUAGACUUUUUAGUGCCUUCACACCCAAAAAAAAAAAUAUUUUUAGAGUUUUUUUUCAGUGAGACGACUUAAUAACAGAGUUUAUAUGUUAAUAACUUGUAUUAGUUAGUGUAUUUAACCCAUAUACGAGGCACAUUUUACGGUGAAACCAUCUAAUACAAAAACAAAUAUAAGUCCAAGUAGUUAUAUAUCUUUUUUAUAACUAGAAUUGCAUUAUAUUUUUAUAAUCCCUCUUAAUUUGAUAUAUAAUUUUUAAAAUUUCAUGCACAAAUUCAAUCACUACUCAUUUCAAAGAUGAAGGUUGAAAUCGGCAAGAUAUCAAAUCGCACAUGUCCCAUGAAUUCAUUAUUUUUAUAUUAAUUUUUUCAUAAAUCGCUUUUAGAAAUUAUAGAGAAUUUUUACUAUACGCAUCCUCAUUCUAUUAAUACAUUUCAUUUAUCUACUUAUUUUAUCUUGUUUUUCCACUUACUACUUACUAUAAUUAAUAUUACCUUCAUUCUGAAAUACUUACAACUAAUUGUGAGAUAUUUUUGUGCGAAAAAAUGUCACUAUUAAUUUCAACUAUAAUGGAAUGGAGAAAGUAAUAAUAAUAAUAAUAAUAAUAAUAAUAAAACACCAUGUGUCAAAAAUCAAUAACAUAUCAAUUAGUACCUCACAACUCACAAGUAAGGACUAGUGAUGCCCUAUAUAAAAACCUUUCAAGAUGACAAAAGAGCCAAAACCAAAAACAAUACACAAAAUUGGGAUUUUUCAGCAAUGGAAAAUCCCAUCAACCCUACCUAUUAUUUGUUCUUAUUUUUUAUUUGGUUCAUUUCUAUUGUUUCCAUCUACCUUAAAAAUCAACCCAAAACAAGCAAUGUUGGUAAUGGCAUUCCUCAAUUGCUUCAACAAGGCCAAAUUAUGAGUACAGCCACAUUUACAGCUUUCUCAGUUCAUUCCAUUAUCCCAUCUCUUCAUCAUUGUCAUCAUUUUCCUCAAUUUAGUGCUACAAAUUUUAGUUAAUUUAUGACUUAUAUUUUAGUUAAUAAUUUUGGUUUUAUUUUACAUGCCUAUAUGAAAUUAUUUAGACCACCCACAAGACUUGCGGGUUCAACUACACUCAUUCUCUCUCAUUGGAGUAAACUCUCUAUUCGGUGUCUUUCUUGAGCUGAGGGGCUCUGUGGCCGUAUUUUUCUUUUGGGUUUCCGUCUUCCAUCUCUUUCUAAAAUUUCAGCAUAUAUAAUUUCUAUAAACGGAAUAUACUGGAUACGAUAAUAAUGAUGAUAUAUGCAAUAAUGUAAAAAGUUAGGCUUCUUUACUACGUUUUUGUUACAAUUAGAUCAGAUUUGUGCAACACUUCCUCUUCUAAACAAAAGGGAUUGUUUAUUGCAAAUCAUGGGCCACAAAUAUAAUCAUGGUUUAAAGGUUGAGCCAAGCUACUCUUCAACUUUGUAUUUUUAAUUUUUAUUUUAUUUUUCUUUUUUUUGUAAUUUUUAAUUUCAUGAUCAGUUGUACAAGUAAUGUGUUGUCUGCAUUAGGACUACUGGACUAGAUCUUUCUAUAGCACCUGGCUGUACGAUGUGCAAAAAUAUACUACAGAUGUUUAGAUGCCCCUUGUAAUAAAGAGGAUAAUAAUAUACUUAAUUCUUACAUUAUAUACUUUUA